UCAGCCGUGAUCUCUUUGGAGCAGUCGGGCUUUGAAACGGCUCCGUGUUCGCCAAGAGUUAAGGGGACUGUGCGGCUUUGAAGAUGAGAACCAGAUGAUAAAGCUGGAGAACGUGCGUGGACCGAGGUGCCCGUGUCCGUGCACGAGGCUGCUCCAUGGAUCGCUGCCCGGCCRUGCAGUGGGAACGGGGACA